UAGAAUGUUGAAGUUCAGUAUUCACGUGUGCUCAUUUUCCAUGCCGAUACAACAUGGCUGGCGAGCUUAGGGACGAUUUGGACAAACCGAGUACCUCAUGCUAAAAUUCAGUCUCUUAUAUUUCUUUCAACCGGAACAUGAUCUCAAGGCACCAGAUUUAAUGAAGAUGGUGGCCAUCUAUUUCACAAGUGCAAGCCUCUGUGUGCAUUGUGGAGGAUCUGAAGCUUGAACCCAUCAGAGCUAAGUUGGCCUCUUGUCUUGAUGCCAAAGAUGUCAUUGCACAGAUACUAGGUGCCAAUGAACAGGAGAAGAUGAGAUGUGUUGACCUGCUUUCGGUCUGGUGGCGUGUGAGGAACAAAUGCAAUGUUGUUGAGUCUACGUCCUUGUCAGAUUCAAUUUGUCAUGUCUCUAACUGCUGAGUUUGAACAACAGUGAAGGAAAAUAAAGAAGAAAGAGCAACCUGCUAUGAGAUCAAGUGGAAGCCACCGGUGCACGAUGUUCUGAAGAUAAAUAUUGAUGGGAGCAUGGACCCAGCCAAUGCGUCUGGUGGCUGGGGUUUGGUGUUUAGAGAUGAGCUCGGAGUUGUAGCCGGUUUAGGUGCUAGCCAUAUGGAGCAUCUGCAGGAUGUUCUCCACACUGAGGCAGAGACCUACCUGCAAUCACUAUUUCAGGCUCAAAUAUGGUGUAUUUCUUGGGUUCACGUUGAACUGACUCACAACUUCUGGUGCAACCGAUCAAGGGAAGCGAGCAACGGUGCUAUUUUUAGGGAUAUUAAAUUUCAGAUUUCGUUGAACUUCUCUGUUUUCAGUAUUUUGUAAUGCACGCCCUCGGGCCUGUAAUAAAGUGGUGGAUGCUAUGGUGACGCAUGGCGGUGAGAUUAGGGCUCAGCCCCCCAUCAUUUUGGCCGGGUUGUGUCCCUGGCUUCAUGUUUGAUUAGGUACCCUGAGGGACUGGCGGUGACCGCCCGGGAAGCGACAGACUGAUAUAAGACAAAUGAUAUGUUAUGUUCUUUUC